rnacentral:lncRNA from 1 species
ACAGAUUCUCUCUGAGCCAAAUGGGUUAAGGGAGAAGUGAUGGAGGCGAUUCGAAGCUGUCUUUCCUACCCUCUUCAGUACCUCUUCCAGUGAUGUGAAGUUAAAACCAGAGAUGGAGUCUCCCUGUGUUGCCCAGUCUGGUCUUGAGAGCUUCAGUUUUAAAUAAUAAAUUGUUCUCGUCUUUCUAAAUUUCAAUCAAAACACAGGAUGUAUUUUAAAAGGGAAAAACUGUGAGGUAAAAGAAUAGGGUGAGGGGAGGAAAGAAAUAACUUCAUAGAGAAAAAUUCAAUGAACCCUUGGAAGAAAAUAUAUGGAAGUAUGGUUACUGACUUGGGAAAGAAGAGAAAGGUACAAUGUAACUGCACAUAGAAGCCAGUCCUGAAAAGAAGCAAGCCGGCUGAAGUUAUCUGCAACUCAGAAGCACUUGGUACCACCCAAGGGGAGAUAAGAGGAGAUCUCAUCAGAGGUGCCUGAAAAGCACCUCAGCCGAAGGCCUCACAUAGAGAGACCUAAGAAUGAAGGCACCUGGACUAGGAAUGUGAAUAUGUGAAAGAACAUGACCGGCCAGGGGCCCUGAGUUAUUGAAUGCAACCCCCUUCAGACACUGCAACACACAGGCUGUGCACCAAGCCUAGUAUGGGAAGGACAGCUUUUCUUCAUGAGGCCUGCCAGGUAAAGCCAGCUAUGAAACAGGAAGUUGACCUUCACCAGACACUGAACCUACUGGCACCUUGAUCUUGGACUUCCCAGCCUUACAAACUGUAAGAAAUAAAUGUCUGUUGUUCAUAAGCCACAUAGUUUGUGAUAGUUUGUUAUGGCCACCUGAACAGACUUAGGCAGGGUGCCUCAUUAUAACCUGGCAAGGGUGUAAAUUUAGGUGGUUCCCUUCUUGGACUUUUCUGGUGGAAGUGGAGGUAGGGCCACAGCUUUUGGGUGUGUGUGUGUGUGUGUGUGUGUGUGUGUGUGUGUGUGGAAGCAGAAAAUGUGGUGUUUGGUGGAAGCAGAAAAUGUAUUGUCUAGAUGUUUUCUCUCUUAUUAUAAUAGAUUACCCCUUUCAUGGUCUUUUGGCUAGACAGAGUAACCUUUUUGGGGGUCUUUUUCAUCAGUGCCCAUUGGUGCUUUCAAGUCAAUGGCUUCUUUAGCUCCAAAAAGGUACACAAAGACAACUCUGGGACCUCACCACCAUAUCAUUCCUUAAAUUCAUAGUCUGCCUUCUUCUCUCCAUCUUUCAAGAUAUUUUUAUGUUUAUAUGUUAUCUAGAGUUCUAAAUUUUACUUAGCAGGAGGAAUAGGGAAAAAUACAACUACUCUAUCAUCCUGGCAACAGUUUAAUAUUUAAAAUAUGUAUUUUUUAAAAUCAGAUAAAAUACAUGUUUUUUUGAAAGAUUUAGUUCAAUCACAAGUUACUUCAGGAAGUUUUUCCUAAUCUCUCAGUCUUAGGUUAGGGCCCUGAUAAGGUUUGACUCUGUGUCCCCACCCCAAUCUCACUGUACUCCCAUAAUUUCCACAUGUCCCCAUCCCAAUCUCAUCUUUAAUUAUAUUCCCAUAAUUUCCACAUGUUGUGGGAGGGACCCAGUGGGAAACAAUUUGAAUCAUGGGGGUGGUUCCCCCAUACUGUUCUCAGGGUAGUGAGUAAGUCUCACAAGAUCUGAUGCUUUUAUCAGGGGUUUCUGCUUUUGCAUCUUUCUCAUUUUCUCUUGCCGCUGCCAUGUAAGAAGUGCCUUUCACCUCCCACCAUGAUUCUGAGGCCUCCCCAGCCUUGUGGAAAUGUAAGUCCAAUUGAACCUCUUUUUCUUCCCAGUCUUGGGUAUGUCUUUAUCAGCAGCAUGAAAAUGGACUAAUACAGUAAAAUGGUACCAGUGGAGUGGGGUAUUGCUGAAAAGAUACCCAAAAAUGUGGAAGAGACUUUGAAACUGGAUGACAGGCAGAGGUUGGAACAGUUUUGAGGGCUUAGAAGAAGAAAGGAAAACGUGGGGAAGUUUGGAACUUCCUAGAGAUUUGUUGAAUGGCUUUGACCAAAAACCUGAAAGUGAUAUGGACAAUAAGGUCCAGGCUGAGGUGGUCUCAAAUGGAAAUGAGGAACUUUUUGGGGACUGGAUGCAAAGGUGAUUCUUGUCACGAUUUAGCAAAGAGACUGGCAGCACUUUGCCCCUGCCCUAGAGAUCUGUGGAACUUUGAACUUGAGAGAGAUGAUUUAGGGUAUCUGGCAGAAGAAAUUUCUAAGCAGCAAAGCAUUUCAGAUGUGACUUGGGUGCUGUUAAAGGCAUUCGGUUUUAUAAGGGAAGCAGAGCAUGAAAGUUUGGAAAAAUUGCAGCCUGACAAUGUGAUAGAAAAGAAAACUUCAUUUCUGAGGAGAAAUUCAAGCUGGCUUCAUAAAUUUGCAUAAGCAAUGAGGAGCCAAAUGUUCAUCCCCAAGACAAUGGGGAAAAUGUCUCCAGGGCAUGUCAGAGGUCUUCAUAACAGCCCCUGCCAUCACAGGCCUGGAGGCCUGAGAGAAAAUGGUUUCAUGGGCCAGGCCCAGGGUCUCCAUGCUGUGUGCAGCCUAGGGACUUGUUGCCCUGCAUCCCAGCUGCUCCAGCCAUGGCUGAAAGGGGCCAACAUAGAGCUCGGACUGUGGCUUCAGAGGGUGGAAGCCCCAAGCCUUGACAGCUUCCACGUGGUGUUGAGCCUACAGGUGCACAGAAGUCAAGAACUGGGGUUUGGGAACCUCCGCCUAGAUUUUAGAAGAUGUAUAGAAACACCUGGAUGCCCAGGCAGAAGUUUGCUGCAGGGGUGGGGAGUUCAUGGAGAACCUCUACUAGGGCAGCAUGGAAGGGAAAUGUGGGGUCAGAUCCCCCACACAGAGUCCCUCCUGGGGCACUGCCUAGUGGAGCUGUGAGAAGAGGGCCACUGUCCUCCAGACCCCAGAAUGGUAGAUCCACCGACAGCUUGCACCAUUUGCCUGGAAAAACGGCAGACACUCAAUUCCAGCCCAGGAAAGCAGCCAGGAGGGAGGCUAUACCCUGCAAAACCACAGGGGUGGAGCUGCCCAAGACCAUGGGAGCCCACCUCUUGCAUCAGCAUGACCUGGAUGUGAGACCUGGAGUCAAAGGAGAUCAUUUUGGAGUUUUAAAAUUUGACUGCCCCACUGGAUUUGGGACUUGCAUGGGCCCUGUAACCCCUUUGUUUAGGCCAAUUUCUCCCAUUUGGAAUGGCUGUAUUUACCCAAUACCUGUACUGCCAUUGUAUCUGGGAAGUAACUAGCUUGCUUUUGACUUUACAAGCUCAUAGGUGGAAGAGACAUGCUUUAUCUCAGAUGAGACUUUGGACUGUGGGCUUUUGGGUUAAUGCUGGAAUGAGUUAAUACUUUGGGGGACUGUUGGAAGGGCAUGAUUGUGUUUUGAAAUGUGAGGACAUGAGAUUUGGGUGGGGCCAGGGGCAGAAUGAUAUGGUUUGGCUCUGUCUCCCCACCCAAAUCUCACCUUGAAUUUUAAUAAUCCCCAUGGUCAAGGGCAGUAGCAGGUGGAAAUAAUUGAAUCAUGGGAACAGUUUCCUCCAUACUAUUGGCAUGAUAGUGAGUGAGUUCUCACCAGAUCUGAUGGUUUUGCAAGGGGUUUCCCUCUUUGCUUGGUUUUCAUUUUUCUCCUGCCUACUGCCAUGUAAGACGUGCCUUUGCUCUUCCUCACCUUCCACCAUGAUUGUAAGGCCUCCCCAGACAUGUGGAACUACAGAAUUGGUUUUGUCUGUGUCUUUGUUAAAGAUGGCUCAAGUGACCAGUUUCAUAGGAAACAGACUGUGCAAGUGACCUCAAGAGUGCAGAUGCUGUGGCUUAUCACGGGUAGAAAAAAUAUUCAUAAGUCUGAGGAAAUGUUUAAUUUCCUGUUCUCCAGCCUCCAUGGUAAGGAGUCUUUUACAUUUAUAGGCUCCCUUCUUUCCAGCAUCUGUGACAUAACUUUCAGGAGACUAAAAGCAAAAUCCACCAUAUUGAUUGUCUCCUAGCCCUGUGGGCGAUUCCCAGUAACUGGAUCAGACAGACUCAUCCCAAACCUUGUACCUCAAUUCUGAUCGUUCUAUCCCUGUCUAACAAAUUUUGUGUCAGUUCUGGUCACCAUCCAGAACUCAAGAAGAUUAAGCCAUGAUCCUAGGCAUUACCCUAGACUUCUUCAUCGCCCAACAGAAUCAUCACCAGAUUCUAUUCAGUUUAAUUCCUAAACCUCACUUGAAUCCAAUUCUCAUUAACCACAGUUUGAGCCAUUAUCAGUUCACAGCUGUCUUAUUAUCACAGCCUCUAAAUUCCUCUGCCAGCCUCCAGGUUUGCUGCUCUCAAAUUAUUCUCUGCAGCCAGAGUAAUCAUCAUUCUAAAUGAUCCACCCUCUUCUUAAAGUCCUUUAGUAACUUCCUCCUGCUCCCCAAAUAAACUUCAAACUCCUUAGCAAGAAUAAAGGGCUCGACCUGACGUGACCCUGAUAACCACACUGACUUGGUACUGCUCACCCUUCCACUCACACCUACCUGCAAUCUGCACUCCAGAAAUGUUGAACUACUUGCAGUUCCCCCAAACAAGCCUUUCUCUUUCUCACUUCUUGGCCUAUGUUCAUGCCGAGAACAUAACCUGUUGCCCACUCAUCCUUUGGGUCCCUGUUUACAUGGCACCUCCUCAAGGAACCCUUUGAUUGCCCAAAAUGAGUUAUAUGCCUUUCGAAAUGACCUCAUAGAAACCUGUACUUUACCCUGUGAUGGAAAUCUUGCUGAGGUAUAAUUGCCCACUUACUUACCUUUGUCUGCCCUUGGACAGUAAGCACCAGAAGGUCAAGGUGUAAGUAGAUCUCAUCACCUCUGCAUCCUCACAUCCAAUACAUAUCCUGGCAUAUCAAAGCUCCACCAUAAAUAUUGGCUGAAUUAGCAUAUAAACACCCAGGCUUUAGAAAUGAAGUCAUGCCUCCAUCUUUCUGCUUUCCCUUGCACCCUUCAGGGAGAGUAAUCCUGCCUAAUCUCCAGUCCUGUGGAUGGACUCUGUUUAAAAUCCUUCCAUGUCUUCUCCCUAAUCAUAGAAUAAAGUCCAAAUCCCUUAAUAUGACCUAAAAACUCAAUUCCGCUGGGUCCCUGUUCCAUUACCACUUGUGGUAACCAGCCUCCAAGAUGGCCCCCAAUGACCCCAGCCUCCUGGUCUUCACAUCUUUGUCCCUCCCGCAUUGUAUCAAUAUUAGUCUGUGUGACCAACAGCACAUAGUAGAAGUGACAACAUACAACUCCUGCACUCAGGUCAUAAAAGCCAUCAAGUCUUCUGCCUCUCUCUCUUGAGGAUUGCUUACUCUACAGGAAGUUAGCUGCCAUGUCAUGAGCAACCCUAUGGAGAGACCCAUGUGGUGAGGAAGCAAAGUCUCUACAGCAGUGAAGAACUGAAGCCUCCGGCCAACAGUCAUACACCGGCACCUUUGUGGAAGCAGAUCCUCCAACCCCAGUCAAUCCUUCAAAUUACUACAGCCCCAACCAAUAUUUUGGUUGCAACCCCAUGAGAGACCUUGAGCCAAAAAUCACCAGCUAAGCCACUCCAGAAUAGCUGACUCCAGAAAUGAUGAGAUAAUAAAUGAUUACUGUCUUAAGCCACUGAGCUCUAGAGUAAUUUAUUAUCCAGCAAUAAAUAGCAUUCUAGCCCUGCCAUAGCCCACUGCCCCUUGUGAGGCUUUUCUCAAUUCCAGAACUAUGCCAGGCCCCCUCUGGCCUGGGGCCCUUCUCACAUGCUGUUUCUUUGCCUUUCUUCACCAGGACAAUUGCUUUUUUUUUUUUUUAGAUGGAAUUUUGCUUUCGUCGCCCAGGCUGGAGUGCAAUG